GCUCCGGUGGCGGAACUGGUAGACGCGCGGGACUCAAAAUUCCGUGCCCUUCGGGCGUGUGGGUUCGAAUCCCACCCGGAGCA
rnacentral:tRNA from 1 species